rnacentral:misc_RNA from 1 species
GUAAGACCACCAGACAGAGAGGAAUUCAAUGAUGUGUAUAUUGUGUAUGAGCUAAUGGAUACUGAUCUGCAUCAGAUAAUACGCUCUUCACAGGCCCUCACAGAAGAUCAUUGUCAAUACUUCCUCUAUCAAUUAUUGCGUGGACUCAAGUAUGUACAUUCUGCUAAUGUUCUUCACCGGGAUCUGAAACCUAGCAACUUGCUACUCAAUGCAAACUGUGACCUCAAGAUCUGUGAUUUUGGGCUUGCUAGAACCACUUCCGAGGCAGAUUUUAUGACUGAGUAUGUUGUUACCCGAUGGUAUAGGGCACCCGAGCUACUACUUAAUUGUACCGAAUAUACUGCAGCGAUUGAUAUAUGGUCAGUUGGUUGCAUUUUGAUGGAACUCGUUAAGAGAGAGCCUCUUUUUCCCGGCAGAGACUAUGCUCAGCAAUUGGGGCUUAUCAUUAAGUUAUUAGGUUCACCGGAGGAGUCUGAUCUUGGAUUCCUAAGGAGUGACAAUGCUAGGAAGUACGUCAAGCAGCUGCCUCAAGUUCCAAAGCAACCAUUUUCCGAGCAUUUCCCUGAUGUGUCCCCUUUAGCCCUUGAUCUUGCAGAAAAGAUGUUGGUUUUUGAUCCAGCUAAACGCAUAACUGUUGAGGAUGCAUUGAAUCAUCCAUUCAUGAUAAGUCUCCAUGAGAUAAACGAGGAACCAGUUUGCACUUCUCCUUUCAACUUCGACUUUGAACAAGCAUCUCUAAGCGAGGAAGACAUUAAGGAGCUCAUAUGGAACGAGGCUCUUAAGUUUGAUCCCGCUACAACCAAGUGAUGAUCCAUACUAUAUUUCCUCAAUAGCUUGUUUCAUCAAUAUCUGGAGUGUGAUUUGGUUUAGCCAUUUGUGACAUCUGUUUGAUUGUUCUUUUAAGCUGAGCUUGGAGAGUUUGGUUUUCCUCCCUUCAUACACGGGGUUGUUAUAAGGGAGUGCGCGCAUGAUGGGGGAGUAAUCAAUGGAUUCAUAUUCUACUCAAGAAUCCUUCCCCCACCUCGAAAUUUUAU